rnacentral:rRNA from 1 species
UACGUAGGGUGCAGGCGUUAAUCGGAAUUACUGGGCGUAAAGCGUGCGCAGGCGGUUUGCUAAGACAGGUGUGAAAUCCCCGGGCUUAACCUGGGAACUGCGCUUGUUACUGGCAAGCUAGAGUGUGGCAGAGGGGGGUGGAAUUCCAGGUGUAGCAGUGAAAUGCGUAGAGAUCUGGAGGAACACCGAUGGCGAAGGCAAUCCCCUGGGCCUGCACUGACGCUCAUGCACGAAAGCGUGGGGAGCAAACAGG